rnacentral:rRNA from 1 species
AUACGGAGGGUGCAAGCGUUACUCGGAAUCACUGGGCGUAAAGCGCGCGCAGGCGGGCUGAUAAGUUGGAUGUGAAAGCCUACGGCUCAACCGUAGAACUGCAUCCAAAACUGUCAGUCUAGAGUGUGGGAGAGGAAGAUGGAAUUAGUUGUGUAGGGGUAAAAUCCGUAGAGAUAACUAGGAAUACCAAAAGCGAAGGCAAUCUUCUGGAACACUACUGACGCUGAGGCGCGAAAGCGUGGGGAGCAAACAGGAUUAGAUACCCUUGUAGUCC